rnacentral:tRNA from 3 species
GCCUGGGUGGCGGAACGGGUAGACGCAAGGGACUUAAAAUCCCUCGGGGCCUAGCCCUGUACGAGUUCAAGUCUCGUCCCAGGCA